CAGAGCCUUUGCCAGGCAGGGCAUUUCCGACCCAUCUCCACAUUCUUGUGAACUUUGCGUCGUCAGCCUUCCUCGACUCGACACCGUCAUGGAUCUUUACCCCGAGGAGCUCGCCUUCAGGUCCCCAAUGCUGCUGACUUCCCCAGGAUCUGCCAUUUAUGUCAAGGAGCGGCAGCCAGAAGAUGUGUCAAAGCACGUUCUUCAGAGUCUCAGGUUUUGCAACUCAUUGUUAAAUUUAGAAUAAAAAAUCCCCAGCUGCCUUCCCCCCCUCAACCCGGCUGUUUUUUUUUUUUUCUUGGUCCUAGUCGGGUAAAAACCCAGAAAAAUACCCUAAGAUAGGCUAAAAAAGACCUAAAAAACCCAGUAAAAAAAACCAAGAUGGGCAGGAAAAACCCAGGAAAAAGCCCCGAAAAAACCCCAAGAUGGCAACAAUAAAACCCCACAAAACUCAGGAAAAAAACCUCA
rnacentral:lncRNA from 1 species